UAGGGAAUCUUCCGCAAUGGGCGAAAGCCUGACGGAGCAACGCCGCGUGAGUGAUGAAGGUCUUCGGAUCGUAAAACUCUGUUAUUAGGGAAGAACAAAUGUGUAAGUAACUAUGCACGUCUUGACGGUACCUAAUCAGAAAGCCACGGCCAACUACGUGCCAGCAGCCGCGGUAAUACGUAGGUGGCAAGCGUUAUCCGGAAUUAUUGGGCGUAAAGCGCGCGUAGGCGGUUUUUUAAGUCUGAUGUGAAAGCCCACGGCUCAACCGUGGAGGGUCAUUGGAAACUGGAAAACUUGAGGGCAGAAGAGGAAAGUGGAAGUCCAUGUGUAGCGGUGAAAUGCGCAGAGAUAUGGAGGAACACCAGUGGCGAAGGCGACUUUCUGGUCUGUAACUGACGCUGAUGUGCGAAAGCGUGGGGAUCAAACAGG
rnacentral:rRNA from 1 species